rnacentral:rRNA from 1 species
UACGUAGGGGGCAAGCGUUGUCCGGAUUUAUUGGGCGUAAAGAGCGUGUAGGCGGUCAUGUAGGUCCGUUGUGAAAACUCGAGGCUCAACCUCGAGACGCCGAUGGAAACCAUGUGACUAGAGUCCGGAAGAGGAGAGUGGAAUUCCUGGUGUAGCGGUGAAAUGCGCAGAUAUCAGGAGGAACACCCGUGGCGAAAGCGGCUCUCUGGGACGGUACUGACGCUGAGACGCGAAAGCGUGGGGAGCAAACAGG